CCUACGGGAGGCAGCAGUGAGGAAUAUUGGUCAAUGGACGAGAGUCUGAACCAGCCAAGUAGCGUGAAGGAUGACUACCCUAUGGGUUGUAAACUUCUUUUAUAUGGGAAUAAAAUGUUCCACGUGUGGGAUUUUGUAUGUACCAUAUGAAUAAGGAUCGGCUAACUCCGUGCCAGCAGCCGCGGUAAUACGGAGGAUCCGAGCGUUAUCCGGAUUUAUUGGGUUUAAAGGGAGCGUAGGUGGAUUGUUAAGUCAGUUGUGAAAGUUUGCGGCUCAACCGUAAAAUUGCAGUUGAAACUGGCAGUCUUGAGUACAGUAGAGGUAGGCGGAAUGCGUGGUGUAGCGGUGAAAUGCUUAGAUAUCACGAAGAACUCCGAUUGCGAAGGCAGCUCACUGGGCUGUAACUGACACUGAGGCUCGAAAGUGUGGGGAUCAAACAGGAUUAGAUACCCCGGUAGUC
rnacentral:rRNA from 1 species